UACAGAGGUCCCGAGCGUUGUUCGGAUUCACUGGGCGUAAAGGGUGCGUAGGUGGUGAGGAAAGUCGGAUGUGAAAUCUCCGGGCUUAACCCGGAAAUGGCAUUGGAAACUACCUUGCUAGAGGUUUUGAGGGGGGACUGGAAUUCUCGGUGUAGCAGUGAAAUGCGUAGAUAUCGAGAGGAACACCGGUGGCGAAGGCGAGUCCCUGGAAAACACCUGACACUGAGGCACGAAAGCUAGGGGAGCAAACGGG
rnacentral:rRNA from 1 species